AAACUUUCAGCAAUGGAUCUCUUGGCUCUCGCAUCGAUGAAGAACGCAGCAAAGCGCGAAAUGUAGUGUGAAUUGCAGAAUUCAGUGAAUCAUCGAAUCUUUGAACGCAUCUUGCACUCUUUGGUUAUUCCGGAGAGUAUGCUUGUUUGAGUGUCACGA
rnacentral:rRNA from 1 species